GACGAACGCUGGCGGCGUGCUUAACACAUGCAAGUCGAACGGAAAGGCCCUGCUUGCAGGGUACUCGAGUGGCGAACGGGUGAGUAACACGUGGGUGAUCUGCCCUGCACUUCGGGAUAAGCCUGGGAAACUGGGUCUAAUACCGGAUAGGAGCCAUUUUUAGUGUGAUGGUUGGAAAGUUUUUUCGGUGUGGGAUGAGCUCGCGGCCUAUCAGCUUGUUGGUGGGGUAAUGGCCUACCAAGGCGGCGACGGGUAGCCGGCCUGAGAGGGUGGACGGCCACAUUGGGACUGAGAUACGGCCCAGACUCCUACGGGAGGCAGCAGGGGGGAAUAUUGCACAAUGGGCGCAAGCCUGAUGCAGCGACGCCGCGUGGGGGAUGACGGCCUUCGGGUUGUAAACUCCUUGCGCUAGGGACGAAGCUUUUUGUGACGGUACCUAGAUAAGAAGCACCGGCUAACUACGUG
rnacentral:rRNA from 1 species